GCUUCGGUGGACGUCUCCUGAGGAGGAGGAGGAGGCCGUCGUCGUCUUACGGGUCUGAGAUAGUUACCGCUGCCAGAGAAAUGGUGCUGCUGAGAUGCAGGAGCUGCUCUCUCCUUUAGCAAGUGUUUGUGCGACGCGUGUCAGGAGUUCAGAAGGGGGAAAUUAUGAAGAGGUUUGAGUAACCAGGAAGCAUUACUACCUUUCGCUUGAAGAGGAGUGGUGGUUGAAUGAGAAAGUAGGAUCUCCUUUAAAAAAGAUUUGGGGCCAAAGACCACUGGAUGGCGACGAAGACUGACAGGUUGCAGCCCCCCAGAUGAAGCAGGAACUGGGGCUGGGCCCAGGUCCAGGCGUAGCAGCUCUGGAGGAGAUGUAAUUCGUUGAGGACUACAGAAAAUGCCACCAGCCAAACCACCCCGUAUCAGUCUUUCGUCCACAGUUAGUAUGUGAGCUCUACACAGUGAAAUGGAGUUAGUUGGCCGAAAGCAGUCUGUUACCAUGAUUGAUUUUUGAAAAAGGCCUUGUGAGGUAGGCAUGGCAGGCAUUAUUGCCCCCAUUUCACAGCUGAGCAAACGGAGCUUCAGAGAGGUUUGGUGGAAGUCCUGUCUGUGAUGAUUUGGGGAGAACCUGGGCUUCUUUUACAAAUCCCCAGAUUUCCAGGGAAUGUUUCCUUACCUACCCACUCCCUCCCCAACCCCAGUCACACAACAAAGGACACAUGGAAAUAAGAGAGCAGGUCAUCCGUGAAGCCAUCCAAUGUAGUGCCUUUGUUAGAGGUGACAGAGCCCUAGCUCAAGAAGCAGCGUUUGGAGAGAACGAGAGAGAGGACGCAACUCAGAGAAUUUACAAGGACUGCCAAGAAUGAGACCUGCGUAGCAACCCUCCUCCCAGUUUUCAACUAUACCUGAGCGUUAGGAUAGAAGGCGCUGACGUCAGCGUUGCCAUGAUCUUGCAUGAUAUUUUUACAGUGCAGGCUCCCUCCUGCUGCCUACCUGGAUCCCUCUUCCGUGUCUGAAUUGUCCCAAAACACAGGAGCCCAAGGGCUUUUAUUUUUUCACUUGGAAAGCAAAUUGUAUCCUUUAAAUAAUUUGGAAGACUGUCUAGAGACAGUGCUUAAUUCAGUAAUUAAUUUAUAUAGCAGUUUGCACAUUUUUGUUUUCUGCUGACAAGGAUCUGACAUGUUGGCAGCUUCCAAUUAGUGUAAACAUGGGGAGCGGUUGGGAUACAUUGCUCUGACGUUGUAUUGUCACAAGAGAGUGGCUGCUCGGAAACUGAUGUUACUCUCUCUGGAAAAAUCAUUGCUACUGAAAAAAAAUAAUCUUUUUACUCCAUCUAUACAAAUGUGUGAUCCCCCUAAACUGACUUUGAAAUCAGAAUUUUUAACGUUAAUUAGUGAUGCGGUGAUAACAACCUGAGCUGUAACAUCCUGUGGUUGUGAAAGCCGGUCAUUGCCUUGGGCUCAUGACCCUGAGGCGAUCUGCAGGAAGCUUUCUCCUUUUCCUUUCAUUUACCAUCAGACAAAGAUCUUUAAAGCAUCCCAACUGUAUCUUUCUCUGUGUGUUGUGUGAAGAAGUGUAGAAGGCUGG
ensembl:lncRNA